rnacentral:rRNA from 1 species
CGGAGGAAGAAAUAACRUGAUUUCCCUAGUAACGGCGAGUGAAGAGGAAAGAGCUCAAAGUUGGAAACUGUUUGGCUUAGCUAAACCGUAUUGUAAACUGUAGAAACAUUUUCCUGGCACGCCGGAUUAAUAAGUCCUUUGGAACAAGGCAUCAUGGAGGGUGAGAAUCCCGUCUUUGAUCCGAGUAGUUGUCUUUUGUGAUAUGUUUUCAAAGAGUCAGGUUGUUUGGGAAUGCAGCCUAAAUUGGGUGGUAAAUCUCACCUAAAGCUAAAUAUUUGCGAGAGACCGAUAGCGAACAAGUACCGUGAGGGAAAGAUGAAAAGAACUUUGAAAAGAGAGUUAAACAGUAUGUGAAAUUGUUAARAGGGAACCGUUUGGAGCCAGACUGGUUUGACUGUAAUCAACCUAGAAUUCGUUCUGGGUGCACUUGCAGUCUAUACCUGCCAACAACAGUUUGAUUUGGAGGAAAAAAUUAGUAGGAAUGUAGCCUCUCGAGGUGUUAUAGCCUACUAUCAUACUCUGGAUUGGACUGAGGAACGCAGCGAAUGCCUUUAGGCCAGAUUGCUGGGUGCUUUCGCUAAUAAAUGUUAGAAUUUCUGCUUCGGGUGGUGCUAAUGUUUAAAGGAGGAACACAUCUAGUAUAUUUUUUAUUCGCUUAGGUUGUUGGCUUAAUGACUCUAAAUGACCCGUCUUGAAACACGGACCAAGGAGUCCACCAUAAGUGCRAGUAUUUGAGUGACAAACUCAUAUGCGUAAGGAAACUGAUUGAUACCAAAUCUUUUGAUGGCAGUAUCACCCGGCGUUGACGUUGUAUACUGAACUGACCGAGGUAAAGCACUUAUGAUGGGGACCCGAAAGAUGGUGAACU